rnacentral:rRNA from 1 species
AGCGAACGCUGGCGGCAGGCCUAACACAUGCAAGUCGAACGAACCUUUCGGGGUUAGUGGCGGACGGGUGAGUAACACGUGGGAACGUGCCUUUAGGUUCGGAAUAACUCAGGGAAACUUGUGCUAAUACCGAAUGUGCCCUUCGGGGGAAAGAUUAAUCGCCUUUAGAGCGGCCCGCGUCUGAUUAGCUAGUUGGUUGAGGUAAUGGCUCACCAAGGCGACGAUCAGUAGCUGGUCUGAGAGGAUGAUCAGCCACAUUGGGACUGAGACACGGCCCAAACUCCUACGGGAGGCAGCAGUGGGGAAUCUUGCGCAAUGGGCGAAAGCCUGACGCAGCCAUGCCGCGUGAAUGAUGAAGGUCUUAGGAUGUAAAAUUCUUUCACCGGGGACGAUAAUGACGGUACCCGGAGAAGAAGCCCCGGCUAACUUCGUG